rnacentral:rRNA from 1 species
GACGUAGGGUGCGAGCGUUGUCCGGAUUUAUUGGGCGUAAAGAGCUCGUAGGCGGCUCGUCGCGUCGACCGUGAAAACCCGCGGCUUAACUGCGGGCUUGCGGUUGAUACGGGCGGGCUAGAGUUCGGUAGGGGAGACUGGAAUUCCUGGUGUAGCGGUGAAAUGCGCAGAUAUCAUUUGGAACGCCAAUGGUGAAAACAGCUCGCUGGGGGUGUACUGACACUGAGACACGAAAGCCAGGGGAGCGAACGGG